rnacentral:rRNA from 1 species
UACGAAGGGGGCUAGCGUUGCUCGGAAUCACUGGGCGUAAAGGGUGCGUAGGCGGGUCUUUAAGUCAGGGGUGAAAUCCUGGAGCUCAACUCCAGAACUGCCUUUGAUACUGAGGAUCUUGAGUCCGGGAGAGGUGAGUGGAACUGCGAGUGUAGAGGUGAAAUUCGUAGAUAUUCGCAAGAACACCAGUGGCGAAGGCGGCUCACUGGCCCGGUACUGACGCUGAGGCACGGAAAGCGUGGGGAGCAAACAGG